rnacentral:sRNA from 1 species
CGAAGUCCAUGGGCGACGAUAGCCACUC